rnacentral:rRNA from 1 species
UGGGGAAUUUUGGACAAUGGGCGAAAGCCUGAUCCAGCAAUGCCGCGUGUGUGAAGAAGGCCUUCGGGUUGUAAAGCACUUUUGUCCGGAAAGAAAUCCUUGGCUCUAAUACAGUCGGGGGAUGACGGUACCGGAAGAAUAAGCACCGGCUAACUACGUGCCAGCAGCCGCGGUAAUACGUAGGGUGCAAGCGUUAAUCGGAAUUACUGGGCGUAAAGCGUGCGCAGGCGGUUUGCUAAGACCGAUGUGAAAUCCCCGGGCUCAACCUGGGAACUGCAUUGGUGACUGGCAGGCUAGAGUAUGGCAGAGGGGGGUAGAAUUCCACGUGUAGCAGUGAAAUGCGUAGAGAUGUGGAGGAAUACCGAUGGCGAAGGCAGCCCCCUGGGCCAAUACUGACGCUCAUGCACGAAAGCGUGGGGAGCAAACAGGAUUAGAUACCCUGGUAGUCCAGCGCCCUAAACGAUGUCAACUAGUUGUGGGGAUUCAUUUCCUUAGUAACGUAGCUAACGCGUGAAGUUGACCGCCU